rnacentral:misc_RNA from 1 species
CCGAGUUUUUAUUACUCAAACCCUUUGCCAACCUUACCUCUCAUAUGCUUCGGCGGCCGGCCCCGGGGGGGCGCUACAACGGUCGCCGACAGUAUUUUUAAAAUCUUUUGUCAGUUGUAUUCUGAAUCACUAAAAAAAACAAAUCA